CCUACGGGAGGCAGCAGUGAGGAAUAUUGGUCAAUGGACGAGAGUCUGAACCAGCCAAGUAGCGUGAAGGAUGACUGCCCUAUGGGUUGUAAACUUCUUUUAUAUGGGAAUAAAACGUUCCACGUGUGGGAUUUUGUAUGUACCAUAUGAAUAAGGAUCGGCUAACUACGUGCCAGCAGCCGCGGUAAUACGGAGGAUCCGAGCGUUAUCCGGAUUUAUUGGGUUUAAAGGGAGCGUAGGUGGAGUGUUAAGUCAGUUGUGAAAGUUUGCGGCUCAACCGUAAAAUUGCAGUUGAAACUGGCAGUCUUGAGUACAGUAGAGGUGGGCGGAAGUCGUGGUGUAGCGGUGAAAUGCUUAGAUAUCACGAAGAACUCCGAUUGCGAAGGCAGUUCACUGGACUGCAACUGACACUGAGGCUCGAAAGUGUGGGUAUCAAACAGGAUUAGAUACCCUUGUAGUC
rnacentral:rRNA from 1 species